rnacentral:lncRNA from 1 species
AGGCUAGUCAGCUCAUCACCGCUCUUGGUGGAGUGGUACCUCAGGAGCUCAGCGAUCUUGGUCCUGUUCUGGGAGUCCUCGUGGAUGCCAAGCUUGAGGUUCUUGCAGAAGGCCUCGUAGAACUUGUUGUAGUCCUCCUUGUUCUCGGCAAUCUCGAAGAAGAGCUCAAUGCACUUCUUCACCAGGUUCUUGCGGAUGACCUUGAGGAUCUUGUUCUGCUGGAGGGUCUCACGGGAGAUGUUGAGGGGAAGGUCCUCAGAGUCAACGAUGCCCUUGACAAAGCUCAGCCACUCUGGGAUCAGCUCCUCACAGUUGUCCAUGAUGAAGACACGGCGCACAUAGAGCUUGAUGUUGUUCUGCUUCUUCCUGGUGUCGAAGAGGUCGAAGGGGGCCCUCUUGGGUACAAAGAGGACAGCCUUGAACUCAAGCUGACCCUCAACAGAGAAGUGCUUCACGGCAAGAUGCUCCUCCCAGUCGUUGGUCAAGCUCUUGUAGAAAGCAGCGUACUCUUCCUUGGUGAUCUCCUCAGGCUUCCUCAUCCAGAUAGGUUUCUGCUUGUUGACCAAUUGCCACUCGUGAGAAACCUCCUUGAUCUUCUUCUUUUUCUUCUCUUUCUCUUCCUUCUCCUCAUCAACAUCCUCAACCUUGCCCUCCUCAUCCUUCUUAUCUUCCUCAUCCUCAUCAUCAGAAAUCUCCUUCUCAGUGGUCUUCUCAGUCCAGAGAGAGAUGGGGUAGCUGAUGAACUCAGAGUGCUUCUUGAUCAGAUCCUUGAGGCGUCGCUCCUCAAGGUACUCCAACUGCAGAAAAUAGAAGAAAAUUAUAAGAGAGUGUUCAAACUGAUGGAAUUACUCUCAGAUAUUCAAACGUCAAAAACUCAAAUAUUCAGUAGAACAGUAAAUUUAAGACAGUUAAUGAUUAUCACUGUACAUCAACUUGUUGAUAUAAUCCCAAAAUAAUGUCAUAACUAGACACACAUGCAAAACAAAAUUUCAGUUUCUCUAUAAUUAUAGUAUCUGAAGAGCAAAGUUAUUCCAAAAAAAGACUACGAUUAGAUAAAUAGCAUGCUACAUUGUUCUUACCAAUCAGGGAAAUGCGUUAUCUAACAGCAAUAUCCCAAAUGAUCCUCUAAGAGUGAAUCUAAUGUAAUCCACAUUUACAGUUAGUUAUAACAAACCAAACAUAUUGGAGCUAUAUAUGCUUUCAAUUCAGCUUCCCAACAGAUCAGCACCACAAACUAACAUAGCAUAAUGGAACCGUGUGAUUUCAACAAAGGUACGACCAAAAAGCAUCAGCUGUAUCUAAAUAAUCCUAUAAAACAGUAAAUAACUAUGGCAGCAUCACCAAUAGUAAUUAACACACCACAGGCACUAAUCCGGGAAGUUUCUGCUAUACCUGAUCAUCCUUGAGGUAGAGGAUCAUCUUGGUACCCCUGCCAAGGGUCUCCCCAGAGGUAUCACGUGUGACGGUGAAGGAUCCACCAGCCUGAGACUCCCACACGUACUGCUCAUCGUCGUUGUGCUUGGUGGUCACAACAACUCUCUCAGCAACAAGGUAGGCAGAGUAGAAACCAACUCCAAACUGACCGAUCAUAGACACAUCAGCACCAGCAGCCAGAGCCUCCAUGAACUCCUUUGUUCCUGACCGUGCAAUGGUACCAAGGUUGUUCACGAGAUCUGACUUGGUCAUACCAAUACCACUGUCAAUGAUUGUCAGAGUGUUGGAGGCCUUGUCAGGAACAAUGUGGAUGAACAGCUCUGGCUGGGCAUCGAGCUUGCUCUUGUCCGUCAAGCUCUCAAACCUGAUCUUGUCCAAGGCCUGUCAAAGCCCACAAAAACAUUCAGGGUUGGAUUGAUACAUCAUUCAGUGCUUACAAAGUAAUUAAAUGAAACGUGCACAGCUUUCACUAUUAUUAUUUAUCAGGAGGUUAUUCUGUCAGAAUAGGGUAACAAGGUAUUUACUGCACUAAACACGAGUAACCACUACACACAAUCAAUUUAACCAUGUAGUUGUUGAAGCACCAACUACAAAGCCUUCUACCUUCCCAGCAUAAUCCAUUCUGACAUAGGAAGACCAGAUAAAUUUAUUUUGUCAAGACCAAUCAUGCUUGCAUUUGUACAUUCAAGAUUAGCACUGCAAUAAACACAAUUAACUGCAUCAACACGCAAUCAACUUAACCAUGUAGCUGUUGAAGCACGUACUACAAUAAACCAGCCUAGCAAAGAUUACAUUUAUCAAGAUCAAUCACGCUCUCACGGUUCUCGCUAGGGUUUCAGAUCGUUCAGAUUAGUCAUAAACCUUGCAAGUACAGAUGCCACAGACACAGCCGAGAUCUGACAAAAUUACUAUUUACGACUUCAGAAGUACAGGUUGAUAUGUCGUGGAUUUAAGCUGAAUAGUCAACCACGAACUAGCACAAAACCCUAUAUAACCCCCUAUCACCAGAUCCGAAGUACGAUGCGGAACCCACCGAUCCAUUGAACGACACGAGGGCUUAGCGCACAGAUCUAGAGCCGCAAACAGAAGAGCACGAGCGGGUAGGGGGGAAACUUACAUCGGAGGAGUUGGAGAUGAGCUCCCGGAGGAAGAUCUCCUUGUUGGAGUAGAAGGUGUUGAUGAUGAGGGAGAGCAGCUGGUUGAUCUCCGCCUGGAAGGCGAACGUCUCCGUCUCCGAGGCCAUGGCGAGACCUUGCUUCCGAACGCGAGGAGAGGGCGGCGGCGCUUGGGAGGAGGCGACGAGGGUUUGGGGGAAACCGAGGGAGCCUGAGAUGAGAUGGGGAGGCGGCCAGGCGGGUGCCCUGUGGGGUGAUAUAUUGGGGGCGGGUUGACUGACUUCCCGUUGGGCCGAAGUCUUCUAGGCCCAGCCGUGCUGGGGCUGGAGGCCCCGUGGCCCACGAGUCAGUGGGCGUUGUGUCUUUCUUUUUUCAGACUUGGAAGGUUCUAGAGCGAGGUGGGUUUAGAGCAUGAUUUACCUUACGAUUAACGGGCAGUUGGCAGGUCCAUCUACGAGCUCGUGUAUUGCUUGAUUUACGAAAGGUUUUUUGUUUUGAAAAAAAUAAUGAAGAGUCCAGUAUAAGAUUUGCACGAACUUUUUCUCGUGUUUUGAGUUGCGUUUGGGAGCUUUGAUAAUACGUCUGUCGACUGUCGUGAUCGCAAUAAUUUCCAAAUUCUGUGAAAUUUCUGCUCCGUUUAAGAACGGGAGAUAGUAGACACUGUCUCUAUUUAAUGCAACUUGCAGGGAAGCUUCUGGAAGGAAAUAUAAGUGUACUUUACCAAAAGAUUACCAUCUAAUUGUCUUUCCAUUUUAGGAGUUCGUAACAACCACACUGAUAAUGAAUAUACAGAACGGCGAGUGAUGUGUCAAACAAACACAUUUCAGAUUACGUGAACCCUCCUACACACCGCUAUAAACCAAUUUUGACGUGAAUUCUUUUUAGCCCUAUGCAGUUUGUAUCCUCAGAAAAAAAAGCAAAAGAAAAAAAAAUAUAAUCAUAUAGUAGACUUAUUUUGCAAUAGCUUAUAAUUCAAUGUACUUAUAGCUGAAUGCUAAGUUGCAGACAUAAAAGGAGAAAGCGAAAAAACAAUCCUUUCCUUCGCAGCGCGAGCCUAUUCCCUGAACCGGGGGACCAGGUGGAACAGCCAACGCCCAACAUGAACGGAGCUGGGUACACGAUCCCAGGCUUGAUAGCUUUUAUUAGUAAUUUGAAUUUGGGAUGCAAAUUUUGGUUCCAUGCGCGCAAUUGGUAAAUGGUAACAUCUGGACUUGUUGCGCGCACUCCAUCUAUCGUUUACAUGUGGGUUUAAUCAAAUCUAGUGUGUAAUGGAAAAAAUAAGGUGCUCUAGCUUUAGUUUCCUCACUAUUUUGCUAGCCGGUGUACUGGCGCGGCCUAAGGUAGUAAAAUAGUAUGAAACUGCUAAUUAUUUUCUUUGAACUAAAAAUUCUAGCGGAUUAUACACGGUUCUCCAAAUCUUACUCCCCAGGUACAUGUGGUGCUGCAUCUGCUUUAGAUUUGGAGGUGCAGGCCCGCAGUCCAUCACUGAAGUAAUGAAGCUACCAAUAAAUUGUGGAUGUAUUUUGAUAGGCAAAAAGUCUUCCGAAGUAUAUAUUGGCUCCUAGUUUCUCUUGCAACAUUUUGGCAAUCGCUACUAAGUAGUUAAUCUCAUCAUCAAGACAAUCUAUUGAUGUUACUUUAUUACUGCACUAAACGUGAUUUGACUGAGGUUAGUAACUUUUCAUGGAUUAAAAUAUGCCUUGCAUUCAUAAAUAGAGGGAGUAUCAUCUGAACCACAACUCCUAUUGUCUCCAGUUUGUUGGCCAUCACAUUCGAGUAAUAAAACUAUGUGUGUUAUUAGAAAAUAGUUCUGGUAACACUGAUGAAAAUUGCUGCAUCCUUGCAUAUUACUUUGAAAAUGCUAGUCAUACAUUGUAGAACCCAUAAUUCAUCUAUAAAGUAAAUGUUACGUCAGAUAUUAUACUCUAUCCAGCCCAAAUUAGUAUUAGCUGUUUUGAUUUUUCUAAAUUUAUAAAUUUUAUUAUGCACAACCGAAAUGAUUAAUAAUUUAGGAUAGAGGAGCCCUAUGUUCAUAUAUAAAGUACUUCAUUAAAAUGGCUAAGUUUAUUGCAUCAUGGUGCUACCACACUCUAAUUUUAUAUGUUAAGUACUACUACCCACUUUUUUAAUGGUUUGUAUUACCUUUUUUAUAUGAAAUACUCCCCAUUAACAUGGCUAAUGCACAUCAUUGCUGGAUUUACACGAUCAUAUGCACACUGAUCAGCCACCAAAUCUUUUUUUGGUGUAACAUAUCCACAUACAAUCACAAGUGCAGACCACUGCCUAGUGGUAAUCAACGCAGAGGCUGGGGCCAAAUUUUAUUAACCUCUCGGCUUGAAAAGCCACAGCUGAAUCCGCAAAACUCGCAAAUGCCCAGUUAAUUCGGAUCAACUACUAAAAAAAUGCACUGCAAGUGAAAGUAAAGUGGAUAAAUUGAGCUUAAGAAAAGAAAGUGAUACAAAAAUAGGGAUGAAAUUUGCAACAGAAAAUCUCUAACUCAUUUACCACCUACCAGAGCACGUUUGAAAUUGUUUUCAUAUAAAUAAUAUCAUCUCCAAUAACCAUAUUAAAUGAGUUUUUCAAUUUCUUAUUAGUUGCCACUGAUUAGUUUAAUACUAGUGAAACCGGCAAAAUUUCGGUUAAUCCUUUAUGUAUAUUAUCGUUACCGACCGUUUCCUAAAAGAACAGAUUGCAAAGCGAGAAAAAACAGUAAUUCGAAGACAGCAGGUUAAUAAUAACACUAUUAUACCACCGAUACUUAACCUACGCAGUUCGAUAAUCCACGGCACCAUAGCAUCUAGCCCCACGCAUUGCAGGCUAGGAAAAGUACCACACAAAACACACCGACAACUCAACUUUCAGGGAUAACCAGAACAGCUAAGCUAACUCAGACUCAAAAGUUGCACCCGGGCGCGCUUAGUCGACCUCCUCCAUCUUGCUCUCACCAGCGUCGUCCUCCAGAGGGGGCAUGUCGGUGUCAGCCUCCGGGGUCUCGUCCUCGUCGAUGCUCAGGCCCAGCUUGAGCAUGCGGUGAAUGCGGCUGCCGAAGGUGUUGGGGUCGUCAAGGCUGAAGCCAGAGGUGAGGAGCGCAGUCUCGAACAGCAGCAUGACAAGGUCCUUCACAGACUUGUCGUUCUUGUCAGCCUCAGCACGCUUGCGGAGCUCCUCCAUGAUGGCAUUCUCAGGGUUGAUCUCCAUGGUCUUCUUGGAGGACAUGUAUCCGGACAUGCUGGAGUCCCUCAGGGCCUGGGCCUUCAUGAUCCUCUCCAUGUUGGCAGUCCAGCCAUAUUCACCAGUGACCAGGCAGCAGGGGGAGUCCACCACACGGUCAGAGACCACCACCUUCUCAACCUUGUCACCCAGCACCUCCUUAAUCACCUUGCAGAGGCCCUCAAACUUCUCCUUGAGCUCCUCCUGCCUCUUCUUCUCGUCCUCAGUCUCAUCAAGCUUCAGGCCCUCCUUAGUGGCAGAGACGAGUUUCUUGCCCUCAAAUUCCUUCAGCUGGCCAAUGGCAUACUCAUCAAUUGCAUCCACCAUGUACAGGACUUCAUAGCCCUUCUUCUUCAGCUUCUCAAGGAAGGGGGAGUUCUCCACAGCCUUCUUGCUCUCACCAGUGAUGUAGUAGAUGUCGCUCUGGCCCUCCUUCAUCCUCGUCACAUAGUCCUUGAGGCUAGUCAGCUCAUCACCGCUCUUGGUGGAGUGGUACCUCAGGAGCUCAGCGAUCUUGGUCCUGUUCUGGGAGUCCUCGUGGAUGCCAAGCUUGAGGUUCUUGCAGAAGGCCUCAUAGAACUUGUUGUAGUCCUCCUUGUUCUCAGCAAUCUCGAAGAAGAGCUCAAUGCACUUCUUCACCAGGUUCUUGCGGAUAACCUUGAGGAUCUU